CUACGGGGGGCUCCAGUGUGGAAUAUUGCACAAUAGAGGAAACUCUGAUGCAGCAACGCCGCGUGGAGGAUGACACUUUUCGGAGCGUAAACUCCUUUUAUAUAGGAAGAAGAUGACGGUACUAUAUGAAUAAGCGCCGGCUAACUCCGUGCCAGCAGCCGCGGUAAUACGGAGGGCGCAAGCGUUACUCGGAAUCACUGGGCGUAAAGAGCGUGUAGGCGGAUUAAAAAGUCAGAAGUGAAAUCCUAUAGCUUAACUAUAGAACUGCUUCUGAAACUCUUAAUCUAGAAUAUGGGAGAGGUAGAUGGAAUUUCUGGUGUAGGGGUAAAAUCCGUAGAGAUCAGAAGGAAUACCGAUUGCGAAGGCGAUCUACUAGAACAUUAUUGACGCUGAGACGCGAAAGCGUGGGGAGCAAACAGGAUUAGAUACUCCGGUAGUC
rnacentral:rRNA from 1 species